rnacentral:rRNA from 1 species
AGGGCACCACCAGGAGUGGAGCCUGUGGUAUAAUUUGACUCAACACGGGGAAACUUACCCGGCCUGGACACUGGAAGGAUUGACAGAUUGAGAGCUCUUUCUUGAUUCAGUGGGUGGUGGUGCAUGGCCGUCCUUAGUUGGUGGAGCGAUUUGUCUGGUUAAUUCCGAUAACGAACGAGACUCUAGCCUAUUAAAUAGGCUCCCGGCUUUUAAACGCCGGGAGGACUUCUUAGAGGGACAGGUGGCGGUUCAGCCGCACGAAAGAGAGCAAUAACAGGUCUGUGAUGCCCUUUGUUGUCCGGGGCCGCACGCGGGAUACAAGAAGAGAUCAGCGUGCUUUAUGUUCCUGCUCCGACCGGAGUGGGGAACCCAGUGAACCUUCUUCGUGAUUGGGAUAGAAGAUUGUAAUUAUUCUUCUUGAACGAGGAAUUCCCAGUAAAUGCGAGUCAUAAGCUCGCGUUGAUUACGUCCCUGCCCUUUGUACACACCGCCCGUCGCUACUACCGAUUGAACGAUUUA